CACUGUCGUCUUCCUGCCAGGGCGCACGCGCGCUGGGUGUCCCGCCAACUGACACUGGGCUCGCGAUUCCUUGGAGCGGGUUGAUGACGUCAGCGUUCGAAUUCCAUGGCUGCGCGGCGGCAACGGAGCACCGGCGGCAGCAGGGCGACAGAAUCUGUGAAGGCCUUGCUGUUAAAGGGCAAAGCUCCUGUGGACCCAGAGUGUACAGCCAAAGUGGGUAAGGUAAGAGACUCUGGAACUGAUCGUCAGUCCAUGGGUGUCUUGGAGAGCGUCCUUUGUGACAAGGACUCUUGUCUGGGAUAUUGUUAGUAUCCG
rnacentral:lncRNA from 1 species